rnacentral:rRNA from 1 species
GCUUGUCUCAAAGAUUAAGCCAUGCAUGUCUAAGUACAAGCCUCAGUAAGGUGAAACCGCGAAUGGCUCAUUAAAACAGUUAUAGUUUAUUUGGUAAUCGAAUUUACAUGGAUAACCGUGGUAAUUCUAGAGCUAAUACAUGCUGUAAAGCCCGACUUUUCGGAAGGGCCGUAUUUAUUAGAUAACAGACCAAUAUUCCUCGUGUCUAUUGUGGUGAAUCAUAGUAACUAAUCGGAUCGCAUGGGCUAGUCCCGCGACAAACCAUUCAAGUUUCUGCCCCAUCAGCUUUCGAUGGUAGUGUAUUGGACUACCAUGGCUUUUACGGGUAACGGAGGAUUAGGGUUCGAUUCCGGAGAGGGAGCCUGAGAAACGGCUACCACAUCUAAGGAAGGCAGCAGG